UACGUAGGGUGCGAGCGUUGUCCGGAAUUAUUGGGCGUAAAGAGCUCGUAGGCGGUUUGUCACGUCUGCUGUGAAAUCCCGAGGCUCAACCUCGGGCCUGCAGUGGGUACGGGCAGGCUGGAGUUCGGUAGGGGAGACUGGAAUUCCUGGUGUAGCGGUGAAAUGCGCAGAUAUCAGGAGGAACACCGGUGGCGAAGGCGGGUCUCUGGGCCGAUACUGACGCUGAGGAGCGAAAGCGUGGGGGAGCGAACAGG
rnacentral:rRNA from 1 species